CCAGCGUCUUGUUCGUGAAAUUGCACAAGACUUCAAAACGGAUUUGAGGUUUCAGAGCCAUGCAGUCCUUGCACUUCAGGAGGCUGCAGAGGCCUACCUUGUUGGUUUGUUUGAGGACACAAAUCUCUGUGCCAUCCAUGCCAAGAGGGUCACUAUCAUGCCUAAGGACAUCCAACUUGCUAGGCGAAUUCGCGGGGAAAGGGCCUAAAUUUUAAUUGCUGUUGGUUCAUUUAGGUCACUGUUCAAUAGCUACUUUCAUUUCUAAUGUGCUAUUCUAAUAUGGAUUACUAUAAGCUGGCAGUCUACUUACUGAAUGUUGUUAAUUUGUAUAAUUUCACUUCUUUGAGAUGACAAUUAUGUUAUCAUUCCCCUAUAUCAUAUUUUCUCUGUUGUUUUAAGCUUUGCUUUCUACUAUUUCAUGUCUGCCUCCUUGACUGGUCUAGUUGUGUGGCAUAGGGCCCCCGUUCUGUCUUUUGUUUUUCAUUUUCUGCUCUUUGGAAGAAUUCGUGGCUGUGGGAGUUUGCUU
rnacentral:misc_RNA from 1 species